GAAGGUGUGCUGUGAGGCAUGCUGGAGGUAUCAGAAGUGCGAAUGCUGACAUAAGUAACGAUAAAGCGGGUGAAAAGCCCGCUCGCCGGAAGACCAAGGGUUCCUGUCCAACGUUAAUCGGGGCAGGGUGAGUCGACCCCUAAGGCGAGGCCGAAAGGCGUAGUCGAUGGGAAACAGGUUAAUAUUCCUGUACUUGGUGUUACUGCGAAGGGGGGACGGAGAAGGCUAUGUUGGCCGGGCGACGGUUGUCCCGGUUUAAGCGUGUAGGCUGGUUUUCCAGGCAAAUCCGGAAAAUCAAGGCUGAGGCGUGAUGACGAGGCACUACGGUGCUGAAGCAACAAAUGCCCUGCUUCCAGGAAAAGCCUCUAAGCAUCAGGUAACAUCAAAUCGUACCCCAAACCGACACAGGUGGUCAGGUAGAGAAUACCAAGGCGCUUGAGAGAACUCGGGUGAAGGAACUAGGCAAAAUGGUGCCGUAACUUCGGGAGAAGGCACGCUGAUAUGUAGGUGAAGCGACUUGCUCGUGGAGCUGAAAUCAGUCGAAGAUACCAGCUGGCUGCAACUGUUUAUUAAAAACACAGCACUGUGCAAACACGAAAGUGGACGUAUACGGUGUGACGCCUGCCCGGUGCCGGAAGGUUAAUUGAUGGGGUCAGCGCAAGCGAAGCUCUUGAUCGAAGCCCCGGUAAACGGCGGCCGUAACUAUAACGGUCCUAAGGUAGCGAAAUUCCUUGUCGGGUAAGUUCCGACCUGCACGAAUGGCGUAAUGAUGGCCAGGCUGUCUCCACCCGAGACUCAGUGAAAUUGAACUCGCUGUGAAGAUGCAGUGUACCCGCGGCAAGACGGAAAGACCCCGUGAACCUUUACUAUAGCUUGACACUGAACAUUGAGCCUUGAUGUGUAGGAUAGGUGGGAGGCUUUGAAGUGUGGACGCCAGUCUGCAUGGAGCCGACCUUGAAAUACCACCCUUUAAUGUUUGAUGUUCUAACGUUGACCCGUAAUCCGGGUUGCGGACAGUGUCUGGUGGGUAGUUUGACUGGGGCGGUCUCCUCCUAAAGAGUAACGGAGGAGCACGAAGGUUGGCUAAUCCUGGUCGGACAUCAGGAGGUUAGUGCAAUGGCAUAAGC
rnacentral:rRNA from 1 species